rnacentral:rRNA from 1 species
UACGAAGGGUGCAAGCGUUAAUCGGAAUUACUGGGCGUAAAUGGUGCGUAGGCGGUUGUUUAAGUCUGUCGUGAAAUCCCCGGGCUCAACCUGGGAAUGGCGAUGGAUACUGGGCAGCUAGAGUGUGUCAGAGGAUGGUGGAAUUCCCGGUGUAGCGGUGAAAUGCGUAGAGAUCGGGAGGAACAUCAGUGGCGAAGGCGGCCAUCUGGGACAACACUGACGCUGAAGCACGAAAGCGUGGGGAGCAAACAGG